rnacentral:rRNA from 1 species
GACGAACGCUGGCGGCGCGCCUAACACAUGCAAGUCGAACGAGCGAGUGAGAGCUUGCUUUCUUGAGCGAGUGGCGAACGGGUGAGUAACGCGUGAGGAACCUGCCUCAAAGAGGGGGACAACAGUUGGAAACGACUGCUAAUACCGCAUAAGCCCACGACCCGGCCUCGGGUUGAGGGAAAAGGAGCAAUCCGCUUUGAGAUGGCCUCGCGUCCGAUUAGCUAGUUGGUGAGGUAACGGCCCACCAAGGCGACGACCGGUAGCCGGACUGAGAGGUUGAGCGGCCACAUUGGGACUGAGACACGGCCCAGACUCCUACGGGAGGCAGCAGUGGGGAAUAUUGCACAAUGGGGGAAACCCUGAUGCAGCGACGCCGCGUGGAGGAAGAAGGUCUUCGGAUUGUAAACUCCUGUUGUUGAGGAAGAUAAUGACGGUACUCAACAAGGAAGUGACGGCUAACUACGUG